AUUGAACGCUGGCGGCAGGCCUAACACAUGCAAGUCGAGCGGAUGAAGGGAGCUUGCUCCUGGAUUCAGCGGCGGACGGGUGAGUAAUGCCUAGGAAUCUGCCUGGUAGUGGGGGAUAACGUCCGGAAACGGGCGCUAAUACCGCAUACGUCCUGAGGGAGAAAGUGGGGGAUCUUCGGACCUCACGCUAUCAGAUGAGCCUAGGUCGGAUCAGCUAGUUGGUGGGGUAAAGGCCUACCAAGGCGACGAUCCGUAACUGGUCUGAGAGGAUGAUCAGUCACACUGGAACUGAGACACGGUCCAGACUCCUACGGGAGGCAGCAGUGGGGAAUAUUGGACAAUGGGUGAAAGCCUGAUCCAGCCAUGCCGCGUGUGUGAAGAAGGUCUUCGGAUUGUAAAGCACUUUAAGUUGGGAGGAAGGGCAGUAAGUUAAUACCUUGCUGUUUUGACGUUACCAACAGAAUAAGCACCGGCUAACUUCGUG
rnacentral:rRNA from 1 species